CAGUCGCCGCGGUAAUACGGAGGGGGCUAGCGUUGUUCGGAAUUACUGGGCGUAAAGCGCACGUAGGCGGCUUUGUAAGUCAGAGGUGGAAGCCCGGGGCUCAACCCCGGAAUUGCCUUUGAGACUGCAUCGCUUGAAUCCAGGAGAGGUGAGUGGAAUUCCGAGUGUAGAGGUGAAAUUCGUAGAUAUUCGGAAGAACACCAGUGGCGAAGGCGGCUCACUGGACUGGUAUUGACGCUGAGGUGCGAAAGCGUGGGGAGCAAACAGGAUUAGAUACCCGGGUAGUCCCUGUCUCUUAUAA
rnacentral:rRNA from 1 species